UUCAUACUUCCUCCGUUUGGAAAAGUUUGUUCCAUAAAUAGAUGUAUUUAGCAUAAAAUUAGUGCUAGAUACAUUUAGUUAAAAGACAAAAUUGAGACAAGCUUUUCCGGACGGAGGAAGUAUUUU
rfam:Triticum aestivum genome assembly, contig: Triticum_aestivum_CS42_TGACv1_scaffold_361044_4DS